GAUGAAGAACGCAGCGAAAUGCGAUACGUAAUGUGAAUUGCAGAAUUCAGUGAAUCAUCGAAUCUUUGAACGCAUAUUGCGCUCUUUGGUAUUCCGAAGGGCAUGCUUGUUUGAGUAUCAGUAAACACCUCAACCUCUUCUUGAUUUUUCAAAAGGAGGGUGGACUUGAGCUAUCCCAACAACCUUUACCGGUCGGCGGGCGGCUUGAAAUGCAGGUGCAGCUGGACUUUUAUCUGAGCUAAAAGCAUAUCUAUUUAGUCCUCGUCAAACAGGAUUAUUACUUUUGCUGCAGCUAACAUAAAGGAUAAUUGUCCUCUUUGCUGACUGAUGCAGGAUUUUACGACACUUUAUGUGUUGUUCAACUCGAUCUCAAAUCAAGUAAGACUACCCGCUGAACUUAAGCAUAUCAAUAAGCGGAGGA
rnacentral:misc_RNA from 1 species